rnacentral:rRNA from 1 species
CAGUAGCCGCGGUAAUACGUAGGGUGCGAGCGUUAAUCGGAUUUACUGGGCGUAAAGCGUGCGCAGGCGGCCCGUUAAGGCAGGUGUGAAAUCCCUGGGCUCAACCUAGGAAUUGCGCUUGUGACUGGCGGGCUCGAGUACGGUAGAGGGGGGUGGAAUUCCUGGUGUAGCAGUGAAAUGCGUAGAUAUGCGGGGGAACACCGAUGGCGAAGGCAAUCCCCUGGGCCUGCACUGACGCUCAUGCACGAAAGCGUGGGGAGCAAACAGGAUUAGAGACCCCAGUAGUCCCUGUCUCUUAUAC